rnacentral:lncRNA from 1 species
AAUGGAUUCCCUGAGCCGCCAAGAGACUCCGAGCUGCCGCCGUCAGGAGAAGAAACGCCAGCAUCAACUCCUUGGUAUAAACCCUAUUAUGUUUCCUCUUUCUGUACGCCUUCAUCUCUUCCUCUUUCAUCUUCUUCUGCAACUCCUCCAGAUCCGGUUCGGAAAUACCUCCUCUAGGGUUUACUUUCCGAUCUUUCUCGAUUAACGAAAUCAGAUCUCCCUCCGACGAUCGGCCGGAUUUCUUGGUGACGACCCAUUCGUAGGCGCUUCCGAGUUGGAAAAGACCAGAAAUCA